AGAGCAAACAUGUUCCUGUGAGACCUAGAGCCGCCUGAGGGCACCCUGGAGGUUCACAUAUGCUCUACCCCAUGUAUCCUUGACCUUCGGUCUUUGCAGGCUGGCCAGGGGGCAGUGAGCACUCACUGGGAGCCAGACACUGGUCUGAGUGCUCCACGGAGAUAUUCUCUUAUUUAAUCAUCCUAAUGACCCUCUGAGGUGGAUGCUAUCAUUAUCCUCAUUUUACCAAGGAGAAAACCAAGGUACAGAGAAGUGACACUGCCUCAGGUCACCAGGAGACGGAACAUAAACAAAGUCAUAACAUAAUGGGAUGAGAGCUACAAAGAAGUCUGAAUCCAGAGCAAGGAGUCCAGAUGACAGGAGGAUCUCUGCAGCCCACUCUGAUACAGAAAUGCCACCACACCCCGGGGCUCCUCUGCAGCAGCACAGCCAGCAUCUGAACACCCCUUCCCUCUGCCGUGUCCUCCGCCUGCACUGCUUUCCCCCCCUCCUCUCAUCUAGCAGUCUUGUGGACCCAAGCCCCCAUCCGCCAGCCCACGGAAUCCCCAGAUUCCAACACCCCCUCUCUUUGUAUAUCAGCUCCCACGUGAUGUUAACAUUUCUUAAGUCUCCUUAAAGGUAGGGACAGCUUUCUCUCACCCAGUGCCUCUCAGUGAACACAUCUGGUAACAUCUGUUGCAUAGCGACAAGAACUGCAAAAACGUAAUGCAACUUGGGCAAGAUUUGGGACCCAGCUUGUUGGCUGGAGGGAAGUUUUAAAACAAGCAUGACACCCACCCUAUGGUGCAAGAGUGGAUGUCUAGAACCAAAUCUGGCUACCACCUGUUUUUAUAAGGCCCACAGGCUAAGAAUUAUUUUUCUAUUUUUAAUAUCAUGAAAAAACAAUCAAAAGAAUAUUUUGUGACACGUAGGAAUGAUAUGAAAUUGAAAUUUCAGUGUCCAUAAAUAAAGUGUUAUUAGAACACGGCCACACCCAUUUGUAUCUGUAUCAUCUCCGCUUUCACACUACGAUUCAACAAUGGCAAAGUGGAGUAGUUGCAGCAGAGUCCCUGUGACUCAAAAUACCCAAAAUAUCGACUCUCUGGCUCCUUACAGUUUUCUGACCCUGCUCCAGGCUGCUUGCCUCAUCUACCCACAAUUAAGACCAAAUGAAUAGCCCAGAAGGGAGAGUCUAUGAAAUAGUAAAUGGAUCUCAUAUUUCAAAGACAAGAUAAUCAGCUUACUCUGAUUUCAUUACCUGAACAACACAAGGUACUCUUACAAAGCUUCUUCCCUAAUGCACAAAAAAUAAAGUUAAAAAAAAUCAUCUGGCCUUCUCCAUCAAAGAGAUUUCCGUACUUUGAAGCCAUUCCACAUAACACAGGGCGUCCCCCAGUGAAAAUAAAUACCAAGAACCGGGGGAAAAGGCUCUGUUCGUGGGCCUUCUGGCAAGGGCACCUCCAGCCCACCCUAAGAACACACACAGACACCGGAGCUCUGUCUCCCAGGCUCUCUCCCAGAGUGACUGCUGACCCACAAAAGGCUACACACAGAUUUUUAAGGUGUCCAGCAUGGAACAGAAAAUCCCAUCGUCUUGAGCCCCCAAUAUGAAGCAGCUCUGCGCUGGCCGCGGCCCACCCCGGCUCGCCGCCUCCCAUGGAUCGGCAGACGGUGUCCUGGCGCACUCGCACGGUGACCUUUCCAGAGCCACAGCUGCUGCAAACCCUCCAGCGAUUCCUCACUGUUGUCGGCAUAGCACAGAGGCUGACAUCUCCAGCUAGUGUAUCAAUUCUCUUCCCUCUGGGUCUUUCCCCGGGGACAUUCCACCAGCCCGAAGUGGACUUUCUUCUCUGCCCUGGCCCUCUGCAUCAGGCCGGUUCCCACUGUCCACUGGGUCUCAGUUCAGAAAACCUGACCCCAAUCUCCAAAUCUGGAUUUUGUGUCUGGCCUGUGGCCUCCCAUCGCACUCAGAAUUGAUCCUCGUACUCAGGACGUUGUGUCACUGUGUUAUGAUCAUCUGUUUGCCCAUCAGUGUCCCCCACUGGAAUGUAAACUCUUGGAAUUGCCCCCAGCACUGUCCAGGACCAAAUCACAUCUCUCAAAUGAAAGGAUGACUGAAAAGCAGCCGGGAUCUUGGGAGAGCUGGCCCAGCCGAGUGGCAUGGCCGUGGCCUCCCUUGGUUCCUUAGUAGGUGAGAGGUGGGCAAAGUAUAGCUGAGGCCCUUGGUGAAGCAUGCUUCAAAGUGCCUGUUUAGGGAGUGACAGUUCAUGCCACACGGCAUCUGCAAGUUUGUUUUCUUUGCCGUACACAACCGUCCUGGAGACAACCCUGCCUUUGGGCUGUGAGAAGCCACUCAUUAGACCAGCAAGUCAGCUCAUGCCCACAAGUCCUGGGCCUCAAACAAACCGGGGUCAGGAGAAGCUGGCAUUUAUUAGGAACAGGAAAUACGGUGCACAGAAUUUCAGUACCCUGGGACAAGGGGUAUCAUUCUUUAGGGUCCAGAGCUUUUUUUCCCCCAAUGCAGUAUUUGGAAUAAUUCUGAAAUAUGGUAUGACGGAAUGAGCUUGGAUUCUAGGAAAAAAAACAACUGUGGGCUAAUGACAGUCUGAAUUUGCAAGAUGAUAUCACCUGGCAGCCCACUCCCUGUGAUAUCCUGUGUGUAAUCCAGCCUUGCCUUCCUCCUCCUCUGCCUCAGGCUGCUUCCUGCUUCCCACCUCCCUGACGGCAGAGACACCAACAGAAGUCAAGGAGGCAAGAAAAAGAGGAGGAGGAGGGCCCGUCAGCCAAAUUUGGAUUAAAUCAUGAUUCUGCCA